rnacentral:rRNA from 1 species
CCUACGGGUGGCUGCAGUCGAGAAUCUUCGGCAAUGAGCGCAAGCUUGACCGAGCGACGCCGCGUGCGGGAUGAAGGCUUUCGGGUUGUAAACCGCUGUCAGUGGGGAGGCCGAUCCGCAGAGGAAGGACGGGCUAAGUUCGUGCCAGCAGCCGCGGUAAGACGAACCGUCCGAACGUUAUUCGGAAUCACUGGGCUUAAAGAGUGCGUAGGCGGCUUAUCAGGCGGGGUGUGAAAUCCCUCGGCCCAACCGAGGAAUAGCGCUCCGAACCGAUAGGCUUGAGGAGGAUAGAGGUAAGCGGAACAGAUGGUGGAGCGGUGAAAUGCGUUGAUAUCAUCUGGAACACCUGUGGCGAAAGCGGCUUACUGGGUCCUCUGACGCUGAGGCACGAAAGCUAGGGUAGCGAACGGGAUUAGAUACCCUUGUAGUC